CUAGCAUAUCAAUAAKCGGAGGARWAGAARCCAACAGGGAUUGCUCUAGUAACGGCGAGUGAAGCAGCAAUAGCUCAAAUUUGAAAUCUGGCGUCUUCGACGUCCGAGUUGUAAUUUGUAGAGGAUGCUUCUGAGUAACCACCGACCUAAGUUCCUUGGAACAGGACGUCAUAGAGGGUGAGAAUCCCGUAUGCGGUCGGAAAGGUGCUCUACACGUAGCUCCUUCGACGAGUCGAGUUGUUUGGGAAUGCAGCUCUAAAUGGGAGGUAAAUUUCUUCUAAAGCUAAAUAUUGGCCAGAGACCGAUAGCGCACAAGUAGAGUGAUCGAAAGAUGAAAAGCACUUUGGAAAGAGAGUUAAAAAGCACGUGAAAUUGUUAAAAGGGAAGGGAUUGCAACCAGACUUGCUCGCGGUGUUCCGCCGGUCUUCUGACCGGUCUACUCGCCGCGUUGCAGGCCAGCAUCGUCUGGUGCCGCUGGAUAAGACUUGAGGAAUGUAGCUCCCUCGGGAGUGUUAUAGCCUCUUGUGAUGCAGCGAGCGCCGGGCGAGGUCCGCGCUUCGGCUAGGAUGCUGGCGUAAUGGUCGUAAUCCGCCCGUCUUGAAACACGGACCAAGGAGUCUAACAUCUAUGCGAGUGUUCGGGUGUCAAACCCCUACGCGUAAUGAAAGUGAACGGAGGUGAGAACCGCAAGGUGCAUCAUCGACCGAUCCUGAUGUCUUCGGAUGGAUUUGAGUAAGAGCAUAGCUGUUGGGACCCGAAAGAUGGUGAACUAUGCCUGAAUAGGGUGAAGCCAGAGGAAACUCUGGUGGAGGCUCGCAGCGGUUCUGACGUGCAAAUCGAUCGUCAAAUUUGGGUAUAGGGGCGAAAGACUAAUCGAACCAUCUAGCGUAGCUGGUUCCUGCCGAGUCUU
rnacentral:rRNA from 1 species